GUAAUACAGCCUGAGGUCAUUUUAUUAUGAACGUGAGAAUUCAUCUAGGAUGGCAACUCCACAGGCUAAGGUAGUGGAUUCCUAGGCUGUAACUGGUUUGGCGCUGAUAAUACUGGGGUGCAGGAUAUCUCCACACUGCGGUCCCAGAGAAAUCCUCAGUUGGUAGCCAAAUGGUAUAGAAACAACAGGACAUGAACAAGGUGACAUGACUACAAUGGGGCCACAUGGCCAAGGUCAAGAUAUGGAUGCAUAACCACAAGUCCAAGUUAAACAGAGGGAUUUCAUCGAGACAUGGGAGCUUUCAUCAAUGUAAUUAUACUUCACCUGUUGUUGGAUUCUCUGGCUGAAGCACGUCAUUUCCUCUCUGGAAGGCGGGGAGGUGAUUUGUUCAUGGAGACUGCAGGAUAUUUUACAGCAGCUAUUUAUAUCUCCGUGUGACAUGAUGCCAGUGCCAUGAUUAAGAGCACUAGCUCGAAACGUGUCGGUGUUUCACUCGUUUUUAAGGAGUGACAUGUCACUCGCCACUUCGGUGGCAAUCCAUUCUUUUAUAUGCAACUAUUAAACGUUAAGUUUUAAUGCUUUUUUUCCUGGGAGCUGGAUCCUACCCUUUGUUUUCUCCCUUUAUGCCCUUGUGCCAUUAUUUAUCUCC